GAGAAAGAGAGCUAGAGCUGAAGUGCUUUUGUGGUUAUGGGACUCAUACGAGAUCUCUGUGUGUAUAUAUAGACAUAUACGCAUACGCGAGCGGCGAGUGAUGACGUACGCACGUACGUAGGUAGCUUGCCUCGAUCGUGAAUUCGUGAUGUCGAUGAUAACAAGGCACGCAUGCAUCUUUUGCCUAGUUAAGAAGCACAGCGUGUCAAUUGUGUUAAUUCUUGUCCACAAUCCACAGACAAAAUAGAACAAUGCAUGUCUUUCGCUCCAAUUCCG
rnacentral:lncRNA from 1 species